UACGGAGGGUGCGAGCGUUGUCCGGAAUCAUUGGGCGUAAAGAGCGUGUAGGCGGCCAGACCGGUCCGUUGUGAAAACUGGAGGCUCAACCUUCAGACGUCGACGGAAACCGUCUGGCUAGAGUCCGGAAGAGGAGAGUGGAAUUCCUGGUGUAGCGGUGAAAUGCGCAGAUAUCAGGAAGAACACCGAUGGCGAAGGCAGCUCUCUGGGACGGUACUGACGCUGAGACGCGAAAGCGUGGGGAGCGAACAGG
rnacentral:rRNA from 1 species